UGAGAUGGGGGCCAGCGUCUCCCAGGCCUCACCCCUUCCAGGUGGACAAUAAAGAGAAGUGCAGGAGCCUGGGUGCUGUGACUUGUUCACGUUGGAUGGGCCUGCUCAGUCACCGAGGACAGGGGAGGAGGGAGGGACCUCCACCCACAGGAAACCACAGUGAGCAGAGCAGAGAAGAAAGCUGGGAGCAGCCUGGCGGACUGAACUCAGCAAGGGCUUUCGAGGCCCAGAAGCAGGGCUGCAGCAGGGGGCCAGCGCUUGGUGUGGCUCAACCAACCUUAUAUGUACCAUGUUCGCAUCUUUAGUUCUUCCAACAAGCCUGGGGGCUGGGGAGGGCCAUCAUCCCCACCUUCCAGAUGAGCUAACCUGAGGAAUCAAUGAGCUUGCCCAGGGUCCCUCCGAGAAACAGAAUCAGGACUUGAGCCUACAUCUGCCAGCCCCCCCAAUCGCUGUGUCCCCCAAGGAGAAAAUCAGAGGGCCCAGGGCUCCCAGGAGGAAGGGGACAGCCAAGUCUCAGUGGGCGGGGCUACGGCUUCUCCGCCUGGCCCCGCCUCUGCCCCUCCCUUGCGCAGCCAGCAAGUGUGAAGUGAGAGGUCCUCCUUGGACACCCCUUACCCUUGGAGAAGGAAUUGGGCACCCCCCCCACAGGCUCUUCCCCAGGAGAGGACCCCCUCCUCCUUCCUCAUCAACCCCUCCGGGGGCAGGGAGCAUCUCCACCGUGUACCCCUGCCCGUCAGUCCCAAGACAAGACAAGCUGAGAUGACUGUCAAGCUGGAUUUCGAGGAGUGUCUCAAGGACUCACCCCGUUUCCGAGCCUCCAUCGAGCUGGUGGAAGCCGAGGUGUCAGAACUGGAGACCCGGCUGGAAAAGCUCCUCAAGCUGGGGAAUGGCCUUCUGGAAAGUGGGCGCCAUUACCUUGCCGCUGGCCGUACCUUCGUCGCGGGCAUUUGUGACCUGGCCCGCCUGGGUCCCCCAGAGCCCAUGAUGGCGGAGUGUCUGGACAAAUUCACCGAGAGCCUUAACCACAAGCUGGACAGCCACGCGGAGCUUCUAGAUGCCACCCAGCACACACUGCAGCAGCAAAUCCAGACCCUGGUCAAGGAGGGUCUCCGGGGGUUCCGAGAGGCUCGCCGGGAUUUCUGGAGGGGGGCUGAGAGCCUGGAGGCUGCUCUCAUCCACAACGCUGAGGUCCCCAGGCGCCGGGCCCAGGAGGCAGAAGAGGCGGGAGCUGCCUUGAAGACCGCCAGGGCCGGGUACCAGGGGCGAGCACUGGAUUAUGCCCUCCAGAUCAACGUGAUUGAGGACAAGAGGAAGUUUGACAUCAUGGAGUUUGUGCUGCGUCUGGUGGAGGCCCAGGCUACCCAUUUCCAGCAGGGCCACGAGGAGCUGGGCCGGCUGGCCCGGUAUCGCAGGGAGCUGGGCGCCCAGUUGCACCAGCUGGUCCUGAAUUCAGCGCGCGAGAGGAGGGACAUGGAGCAGAGGCACGUGCUGCUGAAGCAGAAGGAGCUCGGAGGGGAGGAGCCAGAGCCAAGCCUCAAGGAAGGGCCCAGUGGGCUCCUCAUGGAGGGCCACCUCUUCAAGCGCGCCAGCAACGCCUUCAAGACCUGGAGCAGACGCUGGUUCACUAUCCAGAGCAACCAACUGGUUUACCAGAAGAAGUACAAGGACCCCGUGACUGUGGUGGUGGACGACCUUCGCCUCUGCACGGUGAAGCUCUGCCCGGACUCGGAGAGGCGGUUCUGCUUUGAGGUCGUGUCCCCCAGCAAGUCCUGCCUCCUGCAGGCAGACUCCGAGCGCCUCUUGCACCGGUGGGUCAGCGCCGUGCAGAGCAGCAUAGCCUCGGCCUUCAGCCAGGCCCGCCUGGAUGACAGCCCCCGGGGGCCUGGCCAGGGCUCGGGAUACCUGGCUUCGGGCUCCUCAGCUACCCUGGGCUGUGGCGGGAUGGCCCGGGGCAGGGAGCCCGGUGGAGGGGGGCACGUGGCCGCCCAGGUGCAGGGCGUGGACGGCAAUGCCCAGUGCUGCGACUGCCGCGAGCCAGCCCCAGAGUGGGCCAGCAUCAACCUGGGCGUCACCCUCUGCAUCGAGUGCUCUGGCAUCCACAGGAGCCUCGGGGUUCAUUUCUCCAAAGUCCGGUCUCUGACCCUUGACUCGUGGGAGCCAGAGCUGGUGAAGCUUAUGUGUGAGCUGGGGAAUGUCGUCAUCAACCAGAUCUAUGAGGCCCGCGUGGAGGCCUUGGCCGUGAAGAAGCCAGGGCCUAGCUGCUCCCGGCAGGAGAAGGAGGCCUGGAUUCAUGCCAAGUACGUGGAGAAGAAGUUCCUGACCAAGCUUCCUGAGAUUCGGGGGCGAAGAGGUGGCCGGGGGCCCCCCAAGGGGCAGCCUCCUCUGCCCCCCAAGCCUUCCGUCAGGCCCCGGCCAGGGAGCCUCAGAUCCAGGCCAGAGCCCCCGUCCGAGGACCUGGGCAGCCUCCACCCUGGGGCCCUGCUGUUUCGAGCUGCUGGGCACCCUCCCUCCCUCCCCACCAUGGCUGAUGCCCUGGCCCAUGGAGCUGAUGUCAACUGGGUGAACGCUGGCCAAGAGAAUGCCACUCCCUUGAUCCAGGCCACAGCUGCUAAUUCUCUUCUGGCCUGUGAAUUUCUCCUCCAGAACGGGGCGAACGUGAACCAAGUGGACAACCAUGGCCGGGGGCCGCUGCACCAUGCAACCAUUCUGGGCCACACGGGGCUGGCCUGUCUGUUCCUGAAACGGGGGGCCGAUCUGGGAGCUCGGGACUCAGAAGGCAAAGACCCUCUGACCAUCGCCAUGGAAACGGCCAACGCUGACAUUGUCACCUUGUAAAGAGAUCCAUGGGCGGGGCUAGAGCUUGCCCCACCCAUCUGGGGCGGAGCUAACGCCGGGAGCGGGCGGGAUCCCGGACCCGGCCUGGGAGAGGCUGUAGCGAGUGUAGACUGGGGCGUGGAGCAGUAAGGGGGGCGGGUAGGGUCCACGGAUGGUGAGGUCCGCCCGCGUGAGGGGCUUCGUGGCCCCAAGCGUCUGCAAGCACUGGCCUCGGGGGAGCAGGCUCCGCUUGGCGAAGAUGAGAGAGGUGGAAGCGGCCCAGGGCCAGGCAGGGGAUGAGACGUAUCUGGACAUCUUCCGCGACUUCUCCCUCAUGGCGUCGGACGACCCGGAGAAGCUGAGCCGCCGCAGUCACGACC